rnacentral:tRNA from 1 species
AAGGCCUUAAGUUAAUCACUCAAACUAAUAACCUUCAAAGCUAUAAAUAAAGGACUUUCCUUUAGGCCUUG